rnacentral:rRNA from 1 species
GAGUUUGAUCGUGGCUCAGAUUGAACGCUGGCGGUAUGCUUAACACAUGCAAGUCGAACGGUAACAGGAGAGAGCUUGCUCUUUUGCUGACGAGUGGCGGACGGGUGAGUAAUGCGUAGGAAUCUGCCUAGUAGUGGGGGACAACGUGUGGAAACGCACGCUAAUACCGCAUACGCCCUACGGGGAAAGCGGGGAGUCUUCGGACCUCGCGCUAUUAGAUGAGCCUACGUUAGAUUAGCUAGUUGGUGGGGUAAGGCCUACCAAGGCGACGAUCUAUAGCUGGUCUGAGAGGAUGAUCAGCCACACUGGGACUGAGACACGGCCCAGACUCCUACGGGAGGCAGCAGUGGGGAAUAUUGGACAAUGGGCGAAAGCCUGAUCCAGCAAUACCGCGUGUGUGAAGAAGGCCUGAGGGUUGUAAAGCACUUUCAAUUGUGAAGAAAUAUUUAAGGUUAAUAACCUUAAAUUUUGACGUUAACUUUAGUAAGAAGCACCGGCUAACUCCGUGCCAGCCGCCGCGGUAAC